rnacentral:rRNA from 1 species
CAGCCGCCACGGGAAUACGAGGGGGGCAAGCGUUGUUCGGAAUUAUUGGGCGUAAAGGGCGCGUAGGCGGUUUGACAAGUUUGGUGUGAAAUCUAUGGGCUCAACCCAGAGUCUGCAGGCGAAACUGUCGAGCUUGAGCAUUGGAGAGGUGAGUGGAAUUUCCGGUGUAGCGGUGAAAUGCGUAGAUAUCAGGAGGAACACCUGUGGCGAAAGCGGCUCACUGGACCAUAACUGACGCUGAGGCACGAAAGCUAGGGGAGCAAACAGGAUUAGAUACCCGGGUAGUCCCUGUCUCUUAUAC